rnacentral:rRNA from 1 species
UACGGGGGGGGGCAAGCGUUGUUCGGAUUCACUGGGCGUAAAGGGUGCGCAGGCGGCCAAGUGUGUGAGGCGUGAAAGCCCGGGGCUUAACCCCGGAAUUGCACCUCAAACUACAUGGCUAGAGCAUUGGAGAGGGUAGCAGAAUUCAUGGUGUAGCAGUGAAAUGCGUAGAUAUCAUGAGGAAUACCAGAGGCGAAGGCGGCUACCUGGACAAUUGCUGACGCUCAGGCACGAAAGCGUGGGGAGCAAAAGGG